rnacentral:rRNA from 1 species
GUAGUCUCGCACAGAUGCAUAUCAAUAAGCGGAGGAAAAGAAACUAACAAGGAUUCCCUCAGUAACGGCGAGUGAAGCGGGAAGAGCUCAAAUUUGAAAUCUUGAAAGGUCACCUUUCACGAAUUGUAGUUUAAAGAAGUGUUUUCUGUUACGAUCGUAAUAUAAGUUCUUUGGAAUAGGACAUCACAGAGGGUGAGAAUCCCGUCUAUGAUUGCGAUUUGUAGCUUUGUGUUACACUUUCAAAGAGUCGGGUUGUUUGGGAAUGCAGCCCAAAACGGGAGGUAAAUUUCUUCUAAGGCUAAAUAUUGGCGAGAGACCGAUAGCGAACAAGUACCGUGAGGGAAAGAUGAAAAGAACUUUGAAAAGAGAGUUAAAUAGUACGCGAAAUUGUCAAAAGGGAAGCGUUUAACACCAGUGUUGUUUUCUGAAAAUCAACCUCUGUUAGCUUUAUGCAUGUUUGUUUAGACCUAAUCAGCUAUCUUGCAUGUUCUAUUGUUUGCAGUGGUGCACUUUUCAGUUUACAGGUCAACAUCAGUUUUUUUUACCGUAAAAAAGUUAAAGAAAGGUAGCUCAUGGCUCCGGUCGUGAGUGUUAUAGUCUUUUUCCUAUGCGGUAGGAGAGACUGAGGUCUGCAGUGUAGGCUAUUUGGCUAGAUACUCAGGUGCUAUGUGAUACCAUUUCAUAAACAACUUGUUGAUUAUGUUUUGUCUAUUGCAUACUCGCUUGUACUAUCAUACCUACGCUUAGGAUGUUGAGUCGUAGAGCACGCAG